GGAAAGAUGGCUGAGUGGUUGAAAGCGUAACAUUGGAAAUGUUAUUUAGAUUUCUAACAAGGGUUCGAAUCCCUUUCUUUCCU
rnacentral:tRNA from 1 species